GACGAACGCUGGCGGCGUGCUUAACACAUGCAAGUCGAACGGAAAGGCCCUGCUUUUGUGGGGUGCUCGAGUGGCGAACGGGUGAGUAACACGUGAGUAACCUGCCCUUGACUUUGGGAUAACUUCAGGAAACUGGGGCUAAUACCGGAUAGGAGCUCCUGCUGCAUGGUGGGGGUUGGAAAGUUUCGGCGGUUGGGGAUGGACUCGCGGCUUAUCAGCUUGUUGGUGGGGUAGUGGCUUACCAAGGCUUUGACGGGUAGCCGGCCUGAGAGGGUGACCGGCCACAUUGGGACUGAGAUACGGCCCAGACUCCUACGGGAGGCAGCAGUGGGGAAUAUUGCACAAUGGGCGGAAGCCUGAUGCAGCAACGCCGCGUGCGGGAUGACGGCCUUCGGGUUGUAAACCGCUUUCGCCUGUGACGAAGCGUGAGUGACGGUAAUGGGUAAAGAAGCACCGGCUAACUACGUGCCAGCAGCCGCGGUGAUACGUAGGGUGCGAGCGUUGUCCGGAUUUAUUGGGCGUAAAGGGCUCGUAGGUGGUUGAUCGCGUCGGAAGUGUAAUCUUGGGGCUUAACCCUGAGCGUGCUUUCGAUACGGGUUGACUUGAGGAAGGUAGGGGAGAAUGGAAUUCCUGGUGGAGCGGUGGAAUGCGCAGAUAUCAGGAGGAACACCAGUGGCGAAGGCGGUUCUCUGGGCCUUUCCUGACGCUGAGGAGCGAAAGCGUGGGGAGCGAACAGGCUUAGAUACCCUGGUAGUCCACGCUGUAAACGGUGGGUACUAGGUGUGGGGUCCAUUCCACGGGUUCCGUGCCGUAGCUAACGCUUUAAGUACCCCGCCUGGGGAGUACGGCCGCAAGGCUAAAACUCAAAGGAAUUGACGGGGUCCCGCACAAGCGGCGGAGCAUGCGGAUUAAUUCGAUGCAACGCGUAGAACCUUACCUGGGUUUGACAUGGAUCGGGAGUGCUCAGAGAUGGGUGUGCCUCUUUUGGGGUCGGUUCACAGGUGGUGCAUGGCUGUCGUCAGCUCGUGUCGUGAGAUGUUGGGUUAAGUCCCGCAACGAGCGCAACCCUUGUUCACUGUUGCCAGCACGUUAUGGUGGGGACUCAGUGGAGACCGCCGGGGUCAACUCGGAGGAAGGUGGGGAUGACGUCAAGUCAUCAUGCCCCUUAUGUCCAGGGCUUCACGCAUGCUACAAUGGCUGGUACAGAGAGUGGCGAGCCUGUGAGGGUGAGCGAAUCUCGGAAAGCCGGUCUCAGUUCGGAUUGGGGUCUGCAACUCGACCUCAUGAAGUCGGAGUCGCUAGUAAUCGCAGAUCAGCAACGCUGCGGUGAAUACGUUCCCGGGGCU
rnacentral:rRNA from 1 species